rnacentral:rRNA from 1 species
CCUACGGGCCGCACCAGUGGGGAAUAUUGCACAAUGGGCGAAAGCCUGAUGGAGCAACGCCGCGUGAGCGAAGAAGGUCUUCGGAUUGUAAAGCUCUGUUGUAAGGGAAGAACAAGUGCAGUAGUAACUGGCUGCACCUUGACGGUACCUUACUAGAAAGCCACGGCUAACUACGUGCCAGCAGCCGCGGUAAUACGUAGGUGGCAAGCGUUGUCCGGAAUUAUUGGGCGUAAAGCGCGCGCAGGCGGUUUCUUAAGUCUGAUGUGAAAGCCCCCGGCUUAACCGGGGAGGGUCAUUGGAAACUGGGAGACUUGAGUGCAGGAGAGGGAAGCGGAAUUCCAUGUGUAGCGGUGAAAUGCGUAGAGAUAUGGAGGAACACCAGUGGCGAAGGCGGCUUCCUGGCCUGUAACUGACGCUGAGGCGCGAAAGCGUGGGGAGCAAACAGGAUUAGAUACCCUAGUAGUC